rnacentral:rRNA from 1 species
AUGAACGCUGGCGGCGUGCCUAAUACAUGCAAGUCGAGCGAACAGAUCAGGAGCUUGCUCCUUUGACGUUAGCGGCGGACGGGUGAGUAACACGUGGGUAACCUACCUAUAAGACUGGGAUAACUUCGGGAAACCGGAGCUAAUACCGGAUAAUAUUUCGAACCGCAUGGUUCGAUAGUGAAAGAUGGUUUUGCUAUCACUUAUAGAUGGACCCGCGCCGUAUUAGCUAGUUGGUAAGGUAACGGCUUACCAAGGCGACGAUACGUAGCCGACCUGAGAGGGUGAUCGGCCACACUGGAACUGAGACACGGUCCAGACUCCUACGGGAGGCAGCAGUAGGGAAUCAUCCGCAAUGGGCGAAAGCCUGACGGAGCAACGCCGCGUGAGUGAUGAAGGUCUUCGGAUCGUAAAACUCUGUUAUUAGGGAAGAACAUACGUGUAAGUAACUGUGCACGUCUUGACGGUACCUAAUCAGAAAGCCACGGCUAACUACGUG